CGAGCGAGCUAGCAAGCGGCCAGAGCGCCCCGCGUAGGAGAGCAGCCCGCACGUAUCCAGGCCCCGCCCCCUGGCCGGCCUACUUACAGCAUUGGCCAGCCCGCUUGUCAUUCCCACCGUGGCUCCCAUUCAUGCAGUUUGGUUGCGUCCUGGUGUAUUUGAGUGUUUGCAAUAAAAAGGGCUUUUAAUUUUUGGAGGUGCAAGUCCGGCUGCAAUUAGUUCUCGGCAAAGUCUCCUGCCCUGUAAACAGCCGAUCGCGGCGAGCUUUAGCUCUCGCUUUCUCCCUUGCAAUUGCGAGCCACUCAUUCCGAGGUGCAACUAUGCCCAAAAGAAAGGCAGCCGUUGAAGGGCAGGUAAAGGAGGAGCCAAAGAGACGGUCACCCAGACUAUCUGCUAAGCCUGUUCCUCCCAAAUCUGAGCCCAAAACCAAAAAGGCAGCAGCCCCAAAGAAAAUGAACGUAGCAAAUGAUAAAAAGGAAAUCAAAGGCAAGAAGGGGGCAGCCAAAGUCAAAGUUGAGACCAAGCAGGAGGAAGUUAAAGAAGAAAACCACUCUGAAAAUGGAGAAACCCAAACCAAUGAGGUACCUUUCGAUGUGCCAGUGGUGGAAGAACCUGAGGAGAAAGCAACCAAGUCUGAGUAAAAGUUAACACUGCCCUAUAUCUCCAUCAGUUUG
rnacentral:lncRNA from 1 species